rnacentral:tRNA from 1 species
GCCGUGGUAGCUCAGUUGGUAGAGCAUCGAACGCGUAAUUCGAAGGUCGCAGGUUCGGUCCCUGCCCACGGCA